GUUGAACGCUGGCGGCAUGCUUUACACAUGCAAGUCGAACGGUAACAGGUUAAGCUGACGAGUGGCGAACGGGUGAGUAAUGCAUCGGAACGUGCCCGGUCGUGGGGGAUAACGCAGCGAAAGCUGCGCUAAUACCGCAUACGAUCUGAGGAUGAAAGCGGGGGACCGUAAGGCCUCGCGCGAUCGGAGCGGCCGAUGUCAGAUUAGGUAGUUGGUGGGGUAAAGGCCCACCAAGCCGACGAUCUGUAGCUGGUCUGAGAGGACGACCAGCCACACUAGGACUGAGACACGGCCCAGACUCCUACGGGAGGUAGCAGUGGGGAAUUUUGGACAAUGGGCGAAAGCCUGAUCCAGCAAUGCCGCGUGCAGGAAGAAGGCCUUCGGGUUGUAAACUGCUUUUGUACGGAGCGAAAAGGUCCUUUCUAAUACAAGGGGCUCAUGACGGUACCGUAAGAAUAAGCACCGGCUAACUACGUGCCAGCAGCCGCAGUAA
rnacentral:rRNA from 1 species